UACGUAGGUGGCAAGCGUUGUCCGGAUUUACUGGGCGUAAAGGGUGCGUAGGCGGCUUCUUAAGUCUGGUGUGAAAUCUCCCGGCUCAACUGGGAGGGUGCGCCGGAUACUGAGGGGCUAGAGUGUGGGAGAGGAAAGUGGAAUUCCUGGUGUAGCGGUGAAAUGCGUAGAUAUCAGGAGGAACACCUGUGGCGAAAGCGGCUCACUGGACCAUAACUGACGCUGAUGCACGAAAGCUAGGGGAGCAAACAGG
rnacentral:rRNA from 1 species